rnacentral:rRNA from 2 species
UAGGGAAUCUUCGGCAAUGGGGGGAACCCUGACCGAGCAACGCCGCGCGAGUGAAGAAGGUUUUCGGAUCGUAAAGCUCUGUUGUUAAGGAAGAACGAGUGUGAGAAUGGAAAGUUCAUGCUGUGACGGUACUUAACCAGAAAGGGACGGCUAACUACGUGCCAGCAGCCGCGGUAAUACGUAGGUCCCGAGCGUUGUCCGGAUUUAUUGGGCGUAAAGCGAGCGCAGGCGGUUAGAAAAGUCUGAAGUGAAAGGCAGUGGCUCAACCAUUGUAGGCUUUGGAAACUGUUUAACUUGAGUGCAGAAGGGGAGAGUGGAAUUCCAUGUGUAGCGGUGAAAUGCGUAGAUAUAUGGAGGAACACCGGUGGCGAAAGCGGCUCUCUGGUCUGUAACUGACGCUGAGGCUCGAAAGCGUGGGGAGCGAACAGG